rnacentral:lncRNA from 1 species
GUGGCCUUGCCGCUGGGCUCUGCCCGAGCUGGCGACUCCGCUGGCCAGGCUGGGCUCUCCGCCUGAGAGCAUGCACCUCAAGGCCCGUCAGAAGGGACUGGUGUGCCCAGAGCCCUGCAGAAGUGCAAGUGGGAAGCCAGGAAGGAUCCCAGAGCGCGUGAGGACAGAUGUGACUGGCAGCCGGGGAUGGCUGUCCGUCAGCCGGCACCUGGAGGGUCAAGUAACAUGCUAAGCAGGAGAGACAGGAGCGCCUGAGCUGUUUGGACGUCUCAUGGUUCCUGAUGAGCUCUCCUGUGAACACAGUGGCUGAAGAAAUCCAGCUUCUCCCCUGGGCUGCAGGAGUCACAGCGCUCUCUGUCUUUUGGAACACUCAUUCUGAAUGGCCGGGCCUGUCAAAGCUGAGUUCAGAAGCCUGGGACUGUGGCCACGGACUGACCACUCAGCGCUGGAAUGUGGACUGUAUGGGAGAGACCUAGCCCUCCCCAACUGGGGGACAGUCCCACACCAACAGUGAGGGCAAUAUCCAGAUGUUCAAAAUAAACACACUCCCUAGCUGAGAUGGUCCCCCGUCCUUCGUCACUUGUGGUUGCUAAGGACUGGGAGGCCAGGUUCACACUGCUGGAAACGCAGGAUUUUCAUGGUUCUUCUAGAAAAUCCAUCUCUUCCCAAGCAGAACUGUGACUAGAGGUGUUUUCAUCAAGUCUCCUUCUUCC